UUGCGUUAGCAUGGCUACCUAGGGAUCUGUUCACUGAUUUAGAGGGUCCCAGAGCUCUGGGUCGGGACUGAGGUGAAAGAGCGGAAAAACGCGAGAAGCGGUGUUCCUUCUACACAGAGGCUAGAGUGCGGAUCGGCUGAGUCGGCUGCAGGCGCCCCUGCCUCCGUCAGCGUCCAGGUGACCGCCGUUCCCGCCCCGCUCUUCCCUGGGUGGACUGGAGGAGGCCGCGCCGAUGAACCUGACCGAGGUGCGUGCAGCGUCCCAGGCCGCCCCGCCCAACCCCUCCUCCCAGUGCUGAAGUCCCAAGGAGCCGCCCUGCAGGCCGAAAGAAUGAGGGUCGUGAUCAACUCAGUAUGCCACUGGAGGCUAUAUGAGUAAACAGCAAACUGUUUCUCAUGAAAGCAGGAUGUUGGCAAACUGACAAACUGCGUCUGCCACCCAGAAGGAAUGCUGAAGGCAGUCACGACCCAGGCACAAGUGUUUCUUGUGAUUAGGCAUAAUUGAAGCCUGUUAACAAUAAUGUGAACUUGUGAUCAAUUAAGCAGCUGACCAGUCGUUACCUCCUCCUCCCUUUCAUCCUACCCAAUAAAUGUGGAGGGCUGUGGAAGCUCAGGGGCUGCCUUUGCUCACUAGAAGCAGGGAGCUCUCUUCUUCCCCAGUUCGCCUUCUUUAAAACA
rnacentral:lncRNA from 10 species